rnacentral:rRNA from 1 species
GACGAACGCUGGCGGCGUGCCUAAUACAUGCAAGUCGAGCGAACAGACGAGGAGCUUGCUCCUCUGACGUUAGCGGCGGACGGGUGAGUAACACGUGGAUAACCUACCUAUAAGACUGGGAUAACUUCGGGAAACCGGAGCUAAUACCGGAUAAUAUAUUGAACCGCAUGGUUCAAUAGUGAAAGACGGUUUUGCUGUCACUUAUAGAUGGAUCCGCGCCGCAUUAGCUAGUUGGUAAGGUAACGGCUUACCAAGGCAACGAUGCGUAGCCGACCUGAGAGGGUGAUCGGCCACACUGGAACUGAGACACGGUUCAGACUCCUACGGGAGGCAGCAGUAGGGAAUCUUCCGCAAUGGGCGAAAGCCUGACGGAGCAACGCCGCGUGAGUGAUGAAGGUCUUCGGAUCGUAAAACUCUGUUAUUAGGGAAGAACAAAUGUGUAAGUAACUAUGCACGUCUUGACGGUACCUAAUCAGAAAGCCACGGCUAACUACGUG